CAUUGAAACACUGGUUCUCGUCCGAUCACCGAAGUUAAGUAACGUCGAGUCUGGUUAGUACUUAGAUGGGUGACCGUUUGGAAAUAUCAGGUGCUGUAAG